GUUCGGCGGUAGCUGCGUGGAGCUGUGUACUGGUUUCAGCCGGUUCAGUGCCGCUCCCCGCCGGAGGCUGUUCCGGAAGUGACACAGCAACGCAAUCUUCUCUUCCGCCGCCAUCCCGAAGAAAAAGAAUUCACCUGUCAACAUACAUUUAGCUGAGUCUCGCUUUAAGUCUUGAGGCUGCAGGGUCCUGGCGAUUCCGAUGUUUUCAGGUCCUCUGGAGACUCCGUCAUGGAAAUGGUUUCAGUCGUCUCGUGCUUCCUGGAGUCUCGGGGUCACCAUUCUAGCUGGUAUCUACUCACAUGCUCUUGAUGGAAGAAACAACACCCUCUUUUGAGGCAGUGCCUCAGGUAUUCCAAGUUGACUUCAAACUGUGGUCAAGGAUGAUCCUAAUGAUCCUCCACCUCUUGAAUCCUGGGAUUAUAUGCAUGCACCAUCAUACCUGGUUUUAUGCAGUGCUAGGAAUGGAAGCCAUAGCCUAGUGCUUGCUAGCCAAGUACACUGCCAACCAAGCCAAAUCCUCCGCCCCAGACUCUCUCAGCCUCUUGGCACGUGCCUUAAAAUCCCAGUUGCUAACUACAUGCUGGAAUGUCUAGGAAAUAGUCUCUGAAAGACCUGAGCACAUGAUCCUUUAUGCUCAGUUGCUAAUCAUACUUAGCCUUAUAAAAACCCCAUCAAGAUGGACAAGAUGCUUCUGUAAAAUACAGUCUCCAGACUGGGGUCCAUAGAGUGCUAACCUAGCAUGUGUGAGGAGGCCUUGGAUCCAUACUUUGUACCACAGAAACAAAACCAACCUAGAUGUGGUGGCUCAUGCCUUAAUCUUAGCACUUGGAAUCUGAGACAAGAGGAUUAUUUCAAAUUUGAGGCUAUCCUGUCCUGCGAUGUAUAGUGAGUUCUAGGCUAGCCUAAGGCUGUUGAGUAAGACCCUGAAAACCUUGGCCAACAGGUGUCCCCAUGUUACAACCACAAACUUGGCUACCGCCUAAAAAUUGUUCCAUUCAGAAUGAAUGCCAGGGAUCUCUUGAUUCACAGAUGCUAAAAUAGUCAUCAGUGUCACAUUUCAGGCUGGGUACAUAACUUAGCCAUAGAAUGCAUGCUUAAUAUGUAUGAGACCUAUGUUAGAAUUCUACCACCUAACAAAGAACAUCACAUGUCUCUAUUUCUUCUGAGGUCAGAGUAGAGUAUAGUGGUCGUGUCCAGGUCCUGGUGGGUCUUUUUUUAUAUUUAUCGUGUGUGUGUGUAUGUAUAUGUGUAUAUGUAUGUAUAUAUGUAUGUGUGUAUGUAUGUGGACAUGCAUGUAGCACAGCACUUGUGUGGAGGUCAGAGGAUAAAUUUGCAAGAGUUAGUUUAUCCUUUCCCUAUGUAGGUUCUGGGGAUUGAACUCAGAUUGCCAGGCUUGGUAGCAAGCACCUUCUACCUGCUGAGCCAUCUCACCUACCCAGACACUUUAUUGCCUUUGGAGUUUCAGGUAUUACAACAGGAGCCCUGGUAUGUAUUUCACUUUUCCAAAUGUGUAAUUGGAAAAGGCAGCCAAUGAGACUUUCAGUUCCUCAUAAAUUCAACAUAGCCAGUUUUGCUGAAAGGUACAGCAGACUCUUCAAGCAACUUAAAAUUCCAGCUCAGGAGCUAGGGCUGGAGCUCAGUUGGUUAGCAUGCUCACCUCCCAUGCACAAAACCCUGCCUGAAUUCUACCCCCAGAACUGUGUAAUAGGUAUAGUGCUGCCUGACAGGAAUCCCAGCACUUGGGAGAUGGAGGCAGAAGAAUCAAGUAUUUCAAGAUCAUCCUCAGCUACAUAGCAAGUUUGAGGAUAGCCUGGGCUACAUGAUCCUGUCUCAAAAUAAAAUUCCAAUCCAGCAAAAGAACCUCUAAGUUUCAAUGUUGCUCCAAGUCUUCAAGGCUUAGCCUGUCUUGUGAGAUUUUCAUCUUUCCUUCAUCUCAUGAGGUACAGGACUGAUUGAGGGUGUGUGGUUUCCUGAUCCAUUUUCCAGAAAUUGUUCAUUGGACUAAGUGGCUGUUUUUCUGACAUGGGGUCUAUUUGAACUUAUACUUUCAUUAAAACAAAACAAAAACUGUUGGGUGGGACCAGGCUUUCUGCUUUGUUGGUGAUUUCAUUAGUUUACAGGGUAGAGACUCACAUUUCCACAUAAGCCAUUGUUUCUCCCAAGCACGGCAGAAGUAGAGACCCAUCUCCACCCACCUGGGAUAUCAGAUGGAAAGGGUAACACACUUCCACAUCCCACUCAGCAUCACUCUGGCCUGGGAGUCCCCACUGCUGCUGAUGUCACUUUAAAUCACUCCAUUCCCCUUUGCCUCCCCAGUGAUGAUGCUAUAUCAGAGCUGUUGUCACCCAUGACACCAUUGACUAGAACUUACAUCUUGAGGUCACCCAUGAACUUCCUCUCAAGGCACAUAUUGGACACAAGACUUUUGCAAGCAUUUAGACUUGAGUUCAAAUCUCCAGCACCCCAUGUAGAAAGUCAGCUAUGGCUGUACAUAUGUCUGAGUCCAGAGCUGUAGGGAGCUCAGGCUGGAGGAUCUCUGGGUUUUGCUGACUAUAGGUCUAGCUUCAAUUUUGUUAAAUAUCUUGUCUCAAGAGAUGAUAGAGCAGGACACCCAAUGUUCCCUUUUGACCUCUGCACACAAGAUCAUAUACAUUCUACACAUGUGCACAUACACCACAAAGAACAAACACAAAACAAAACCAAAGUCUUUUUUUUCUCAAGUAGGCAUUGGGCAGCUGUAUGUAGUAUGUAGCACAUGCCUAUAUUCUAGAACCCAUCUAAGAAAUCACAUCUGGGAGCAUGAGCAACUGUAAUCCUGAGGCUGAAGAGAUGGAGCCAGGAGAAUCUCAAAAGUGACCUGGCUAAGCAGCCUAUCAGUAGGUUUAGUGAGAGUUCUUGUCUUGAAAAACUAAGUUGGAGAGAGCUAGAGAGAUGGCGUAGUGCUUAAGAGGAGGUUGCCCUCUUGCGGAGGACCUGGGUUCAGUUCCCAGCACCCGGUUGGUGGUUCCCAACCACCUGUAGCUCCAGCUUCAGGGAAUCCAAUGCCGUCCGGCUUCCGCAGGCACCCACACACAGACACAUAACUUAAAAUAAUAAAAAUAAAUCUUUAAAAGGUGUAGAGUGAAGGAAGACAUUUGAAAUCAACCUCUAGCCUCUACAUGUAUGCACACACAUGGACACACACACAAAGCAUGAUUGUAGUUACCUACACUUGGAUUGGAAGCAUCACCUCAGCUCCCUAGUACCCCUUUAUACAAAGAGUCUGGAAUAUUUAGUUGGGGGCUUCUCCCCAGCCCCUGGCAUCCAUUUUUGAAAUGUUGGGU